AGCUAAACUCGGGGUAAAUUGUUAUACAACAGUAGAUAACUAACACGGUUUUAGUUGAAAGUUUAUUGUCUUUUAUACAUGACCAGAAAAAUGGUGCAAUAUAAAUAAAUAUGUUCCUUUGAUUAGAAUUUCUCAGAAAUAAAAAUGUGAGUGAUGAAAUUCUCAUGUGGUCUCAGGAUACACAUGCCAAGCUCUUACAGAAGAGGGCACUGUUUCUUACUUUUUCCACAAAGCAGAACUAGAAACUUAGCUAAAAUAACAAUGGGUUCUCUGCAAGUGACCUUCUUGAAUGUCUUAAUAGAAUUAAUGCAGGGCUUUUUAAAAUCACAAUUUAACCAAAAAUCACUUUUUCAGAUUUUAAAAGCAUCACUUUGGAUCACAAAGUAGCAUUGCUUUAUCAUUCUUUAGUGUCCCCUGAGCAAUAUCUGCUUUAUUAGAGCUUCUCUGAUUAUUUCCAAAGUUCAUUGAAAAGCAUUAGUACUUGGUGUUAUGAAUCUGUUUUCGUGAUAUGCAACCCAGAAUUCCAAAAGCCUUCCACCAUUCCCUUCUCAGUGUUCCAUGGUCAGCAGCCGAGAGGGCGGUCCAUCUCAGAGUCUCCAGGGAGAAAGGUUUCUCCUCACUCCAUUCUAGCUUCCUUCAAUAAACAGCAACCCUAGAAGUUUUCUGUCUCUGAAACUGGAUCUGGAGUAUAGACUAUUUUUCCUUUAUUUCUGCCACGAAUGAGGCUAGAGUCCAGGUAUAGGCAUCCUUCCUGAAGAGUCGCCUUGGGAAUUAUUUCUUCACAGCUCUCACAAGAGUUUUGUGAGCCACCAUGUCCAUGUCAAGGAAUUCCUUUUCUACCCAAAGUCAGCUUCCAUUGCUUGCAUAAGAACUCUGACUAAUUCACCCCAUUCAAGACAGACUCUGCCAAGCUGGCCGAAUCUCCAGGGGGCCUGGCCCUGGGCGCAGAAAACAUCAGACUCUCUCCACAAAGAAUGGUCUCGAUAGACUGGAUUUGCCAGUUUGGGAUUAAGUUAAAAUUUACCCAGAGUCCCAAAGGCUAAUUGUGGUUGUAUCUUUCUAGGACACUGGAUUCCCUAGAGGUUGGCAUUCGCCUCCACAUGACUAAGGCUCCUUACUUUCAAACAGAGCUAGAAGGUCCUGGGUAUGAAGAUCCUGCACUAUUUGCUUGGGAUAGGGAGGGAGCUUUAAUACUAUGCCUCCAAAAGACCUGGAUUUCAGAAAAGACACCAGUUUAAGACCACUCCCAAAAAACACAGCGGCCAUUUGUGCUCCUGGACCAUCAGCCCUGGGCCUACGAUCACUCUUGGCCUAGAAAACUACCGUUCAAAAAGAGAGGGGCAGAUGCAGCCAACCUUUGUGUUAUGAGGUCACUCGAGCAGCCCUGUAGAGUCUCGCGUGGAGAGGAAAUGAGGCUUCCUGCCAACAGCCAGCACCAACUUGCCAUCCUCAUGAGGGAGCUACACUGGACGUGGAUCCUUCAGACCCAGUCAAGACUUCAGAUGAUUGCAACAUGAGAUCCCCAAGUCACAACUAUGUGGCUACAUUGCUCCUGAAUUCAUUACCCGGAGAAACUGUGCAAUAAAUGUGUUUGUUGUUUGAAGCCA